GACGAACGCUGGCGGCGUGCUUAACACAUGCAAGUCGAACGGAAAGGCCCUGCUUUUGUGGGGUGCUCGAGUGGCGAACGGGUGAGUAACACGUGAGUAACCUGCCCUUGACUUUGGGAUAACUUCAGGAAACUGGGGCUAAUACCGGAUAGGAGCUCCUGCUGCAUGGUGGGGGUUGGAAAGUUUCGGCGGUUGGGGAUGGACUCGCGGCUUAUCAGCUUGUUGGUGGGGUAGUGGCUUACCAAGGCUGUGACGGGUAGCCGGCCUGAGAGGGUGACCGGCCACAUUGGGACUGAGAUACGGCCCAGACUCCUACGGGAGGCAGCAGUGGGGAAUAUUGCACAAUGGGCGGAAGCCUGAUGCAGCAACGCCGCGUGCAGGAUGACGGCCUUCGGGUUGUAAACCGCUUUCGCCUGUGACGAAGCGUGAGUGACGGUAAUGGGUAAAGAAGCACCGGCUAACUACGUG
rnacentral:rRNA from 1 species